UGUGUGUACGAAUCAACGUUAAUAUAUAUCUUUAAAGUAUGCAUAUUUCCAUUUGCAGGCGAACUACAUACACAAUUCUGAUCUUAAAUUCUUUUAUCUAAAAAUUAGGCCGUUAGAGUUUAUACUAAAAUUUCAUAAAAACUUAUUGUUUAACUGUUGUGUUUGUAGCGUUUGUCUUUUAUUGCGUAAACAAAUAUUUGAUUGGUAUUUGAUUGUAUGUAUGUAUGUAUGUAUAGGUAGUUGCAUCAAAAAUUUAACUGAUACGAAUAGGAAUAGCUGUGUAACAUUGUUUGUGUUUCCUUGUUUAACAAUAAGCUUGCAAUAUACUCGUAUAUUUAAAACUAUACAGCACAUUUAUAUCUAUACAAUGCUUUAUAUUUAUAAACAUGUACGUAUAUAGAUUUCUUUUUAACUAUGGAUUUAAAUGGUUGCAAAUACAUACAUAUACAUAUGGUUAAGUAUUUUAUUUUAAAGUUAUUUUCAUUGAUUUUUUUCUUUUUAUAUUCGUUCAAACUUGCCUUGUGUAUGCACAAGCAUAUAAUAUAUAUAUUUACGUAUAUUACAUAAUUCAUAUUCAAAUCUUAACUGUAUGUCUAGAAUUCAAUUCCAUGCGACGUUGACGUCGAGUAUUACUCCUAUAUUUUUAGUAAGAACAAACACGCUUUUAGUUUUUUUUUUUUCAUAGAAACAUUCAAAAGAGAAAAUCUUCAUUUUUAGUGUAUUACAACCACAUUUCACAAGCAAUAUAUGCAUUGAUGUAUGUAUAUAUGUAUAUUAGUAAAAAACUUUGCUGAAUUGAUGAAUUUGAAGAAAGCUUACAUAUUUACAUAUAAGAAAAAUAAAGAAAAAACAAUUAACGAAAGACUAAGUUCGGGUGUAACUGAGCAUUUUAUACACUCGCAAGUUAUUUAUUUAAUUUUAUUAACUCAUUUGAGCCCAUUGCACUCGCUUGGGUAGAGAAAAAAUGGUACAGGAAACCUUUUCGAUCCCAUUGUACUCACUUGGGUAAAAAAAUAUAUUUUGUUAAGAGAACACACAAUUUCACCCACAUAAUCGGCAUAAAACCACCAUUACACUAACACUAACACUAACGAGGAUCACUAUAUAUUGUAUAUGGGAACUGGGUUAAUUCCUGAAUCGAUUUGAGAUAUUUCUACCACCAAGCUACAUUUCCUAACUUUCCUAUCUAUUAUAUAAGGUAUAUGUAGCCCCUGGAAGUAUUAACCCGAUUUUGUCCAAGUUUUGGUACAGAGCCACGCUGGUAGAAACAACAGAUCUCUUUUGAGUUUCUUUAGAACGUCUGAGAAAAUUUAAGAAUAUUUUAGCUAAAAAAUAGAUCACAAGCACUGAGGUACUCAUAUUCGGUACCAGGGGCCUUAAAAUGUUAUAGUGCAAUUUCGGACAUCAAAAGAGUCAAAGUUCUAUAGUGCUUUGAAAAAAUAUGAACGUUGCAAAAAAAUAACAAAUUUUCUGAGACCAUUUCUGUGUUUCGUAAAUUUCUUCAAAUUCAUCAAUAAAUCAUAUCUCAUAUUAAACAUGUUUACCACACUAGAACGAUUUCUGUACAUACGGCAAGUAAUGACACUCCAGUCGAAUUUACGCAAAACUCAUUCUGUGUAUUUUUGCAAUGACAAUAACAACAACGCAUAUAUUUAACUUGUUUGGUCAUUUUCAAUGUUUCUUUCUUAUAUAGUAUUGUAUGUAUGUAAUUACUUGGCUUACAAUUAAAACUGAAAAUAAGUCGGAAAACUUAAGCUCAGUUUUUGCUUAAAAAUUAUGCACUCACGAUUAUAACUACUACUUAAGCAGCCUUUUGUUUCAAGGAGAAAUUUAAUCGAAAAUAAUAAAUAUUCGCCAUAGCAUAAUUUUCUUUAAUAUACAUAUCGCUCAUUUACUUGAAUAGUGUCAUAACUCAAAAAAGUCGAUUUUUCAAGAGAGCGGUUUAAAGUUUUCAAUUGUCUCUUAUUUAGCAAAUAUAGAAAACUGCCAUCAGUUUAUUGACAAAUCUAGUGGCCUGUAAUAUAUUAAAUACAAUGUUGAGCAGAAAUGGACCAAAUAGAGUGUACUAAUGCUUUUUCUUGGGCAUAAAUGUGACCCAUUCUCAAUUAUGUCGAUAUUUGUGAAAAAUAUAAAUCAAUGUGUCGGUUUUGCUGAAAAAAAAAAAACAAUAUGAAAAAUUUAAUUAAUUUUCCAAUAUCGUUUCAACACAAAAUAUGUCGUUCUUUCUGAAAAAAUAACCAACUUCACCUUAUGACAAUAUGUGUUGUAACACAAAAUAUGUCGUUGUUUCGUAAAAAAAAGUAUAACUAAUUCUGGCACAACUGUGAAGUGUCGUUAUUGUGGUUAAAAAAUAUUGCAACAUAAUAAGUUUAAUAACGUCACAUUCUUAUUUUACAGUUUAUUUUUCUACGCAUCGGAAUGAAAUUUUUAUACAAUAUGGACGAUAAAAUUGAGCACAAGUUGCGCAGUAAAUGAGCGAUAUGUAAUUGAGCAAAUAAUAUUUACAACCGUUUAGUAAAAAUUUCGGGAACAAAAGUGAGUUAUUAGUUGAUAAAUCAUUAAUUUAAUUACUUGAAUACACAAAGAUUAUAAAUUGUGUUUACAGCAAAAAUUGAACAGUGUAAAUCAUAUGUAUGUAUGUGCACUUUUAAUUUCAAUACACUCAAACUUAAUUUAACUAAAACAAACUAUAUCCGUUAUUUUAGUUCUACAAAAUAUAGGAAAAAAAACUCCUAAAUAUUUUUUAUGCCCACAUGUAUGUAUGUAUAAUCAGUUAAUAUAUUUAUGUAUUAUGUAUUUACAAAUACGAAAUAUACAUGCAUAUUUCCCUUAGGUUUUGAACACAUUAGAAGCUUAACGAAAUAUUAUUUAAUUUAAAAGGAAAUCAUGGCACAAACUGCCGAAUUACGCAAACUCUCUAUACGGAAGGCAAUGAAAUAAGUUGGUAUAAAUGAACUAAACCAAAACUAACGGCUUUAAGCUUACAUUCACUUAUGUAUUAUAAAUUUUUCGUAGCGGAAUUGAGUUACACAAAGCUGUACUGGUUGUCGACCGCACGUGGACCCAUUUCAUUUGCAUUCAAAUCAUUAAUGCUCGCAACUCUUGCACCAGUGUGAUGUGGAUUCUGUGAAUGUCAAUUAAAUGUUAAUAGAAUUAUAUGCAAAUUAAUAAUUUUAUUUUAUGGAAUAUAGUCAACACACAGCGAAAAAAAUGUAGCCUUUUGUAUGUAUGUAAAUAUUUACCGGUAAUUGCAGUGAUACUGUUGACGCGCGUAGUUGUGGCGCGUUUAAUUGUUGUUGUUGUUGCUGCUGAUGAUGCUGCUGUAGUGGCGGUUGCGGCGGAUGUAAGUGUACAUGUUGGUGAUGCGACUGCUGCGUUAUUUGUUGCUGCUGUAGGAACGGUAACUCAAUUUCGCUAGUUUUUAAGCGCACACUCAUGUUCAUUGUUAUUACAUGCUGCGGCUGCAAUCCGACCGUAAACAAAUGCAAUUGUGGCAUGGAUAAAUAGGAAGAAAAGAAAAGACAUGGCACUUUGAUUUUGAAUACGUGACACGAACACAAUUGCGUGCGACUGGUGUUAGUAUUAUUUGGUUUUGUUGUGGAAAGCUGAUGACUCAGAUCCAUGCAACUAAACGUAAAAAGGAUUUUCAAUACAAAUAUAUAGUUAUGCAUAUACUUAUUAAAGAGAAAAAUAUUAUCUAAGAUAUUUGCAAAAUAAUAUGUAUAACAAUAAAAUAAAUUGUGCCAACUGUAACAUACACAACAUAGACGAAUACAAAACGAUACGUAUAUGUUUACAUACUUUAAAUUUCGAAAUAGAAGCUACCAUUAAAUUUGUACACAAUUCUACUACUUUUUAAUUUUUCCACAACUAUAUAGUAAUUAUACUCUAAUGCAAUUCGCUUUUUUACUCUUUGUCCGUAUUAAAAGCAAUUUAAUUGCAAAAUUUAAUGGUGUUGAUAAUUGUUUCAAAGACGAUGUCAAAUAAAAACAAAUUAACAAAAAAAAA